CUCGCUUAAACUGCAGCUGUUGGAGCGAAAUCUUUGCAAAACGGCAUUUCCUUUCCACAGCUCCAGGCAUUCUGGCUGAGUCCCCACCCUGUGCAGAGCAGCGUGAGGUGCCUCAGCAUGGAUGGGAAGCUGAGCCCAGACGCCUUCUUUUGCCUGCUCUUCCUCUUAACACCAAACAAAGCACCACUGGCAAGCGUCCUCAGUAGGAGAGUACUUUCUACCAAGUCAGUACUGACCCAGCGUUCUGGACACUGUGAUCCCGGGAGUGAUGUUCUCCAGAUGACACUAAAAACAAGCUUCUGGUGGAUGCUUCUUCACAUGUAGUGCUACAUGGCUGCAGACUGCCACAUGCCACUCCUGCAGUGACUGCAUUUGAGGACUGGGUGAAGCGAUAUUUAGUGUGGUGAAGAGCUUGAAGGUGAAAACAUUCAUGCUGAA